rnacentral:rRNA from 1 species
UACGUAGGGUCCGAGCGUUGUCCGGAAUUACUGGGCGUAAAGAGCUCGUAGGUGGUUUGUCGCGUUGUUCGUGAAAACUCACAGCUCAACUGUGGGCGUGCGGGCGAUACGGGCAGACUUGAGUACUGCAGGGGAGACUGGAAUUCCUGGUGUAGCGGUGGAAUGCGCAGAUAUCAGGAGGAACACCGGUGGCGAAGGCGGAUCUCUGGGCCUUACCUGACGCUGAGGAGCGAAAGCGUGGGGAGCAAACAGG